ACCAUGGGAUACUUAGUACGGCGAGUGAGCGGUAAAAGCUCAAAUUUGAAAUCUGGUACUUUCAGUGCCCGAGUUGUAAUUUGUAGAAUUUGUCUUUGAUUAGGUCCUUGUCUAUGUUCCUUGGAACAGGACGUCAUAGAGGGUGAGAAUCCCGUUUGGCGAGGAUACCUUUUCUCUGUAAGACUUUUUCGAAGAGUCGAGUUGUUUGGGAAUGCAGCUCAAAGUGGGUGGUAAAUUCCAUCUAAAGCUAAAUAUUGGCGAGAGACCGAUAGCGAACAAGUACAGUGAUGGAAAGAUGAAAAGAACUUUGAAAAGAGAGUGAAAAAGUACGUGAAAUUGUUGAAAGGGAAGGGCAUUUGAUCAGACAUGGUGUUUUUUGCAUGCACUCGCCUCUCGUGGGCUUGGGCCUCUCAAAAAUUUCACUGGGCCAACAUCAAUUCUGGCAGCAGGAUAAAUCAUUAAGAAUGUAGCUACUUCGGUAGUGUUAUAGCUUUUUGGAAUACUGUUAGCCGGGAUUGAGGACUGCGCUUCGGCAAGGAUGUUGGCAUAAUGGUUAAAUGCCGCCCGUCUUGAACCCACGGACCA
rnacentral:rRNA from 1 species